UCUCUGCCUACUUGUGAUCUCUGCCUAUCAAAUAAAUAAAUAAAAUCUUAAAAAAAAAAGUGUACAAUUUAAGUGUACAUAUUAAAACAAGUUCACAUAUAGGUGUAGCCACCUCCACGAUCAGUUUUAGAACACUUUUUUCAUCCUGAAAAGAAGCCCUGGACUCUGUGGGCUACAGGUUUUUUGUGGUUUUGGGUUUUUUUGUUUUGUUUUGUUUUUUGUUUUUUGUUUUUUUUUUUUUUUUGUGGCUGAUAAUGUGUAACAUGCUUCUGCACUUUACCACGUUUCAAGGUGAGGCGUUUCUGACCACAACGUUUAAUUUGGCACCCCUUCCUCGUUCUUUCUCCCCCUUACCUGCCUAUGACAUGCCACAGCCCUUAUCACCUGAUAUCUUUUAUAUUUUUGUAUAUCUGUCUUAAUGUCUGCUUUUCUCGGAAUGUAAGCUUUGUGGCAGCGUCUUUUGCCUGACUUAAAAUAUCCAGUGUGUGGCAGGUGUUUAGAUAUCUGUUGAAUGCAUUUGUUAAGCUUCCCGCUACCAGUGCGAUGGUUUUAGCUCCUUAUUUUUCACAAAAAACAGAGGAGGAGGGAAUUCUGUCAGAUCCUAGUACCUGUGCAGUUGACACAAAAUUUUACAGAUGACAGUAUGAUGAUCUGAAGAGCUUAUUAAUAGCUUGUCCAGAUUCACAAGCUUUUUUACUUGGUAGGGUCAGGGGUAGAAUCCAGCUCGCUUGAGGCUCAGGCUAGUCCUUUCACAUAAAGGGUUUGUCUCUUUGUCCCCCUGGUCCAUCCUUGGCCUUCUGAGAGACUCAGUGUGUCAGAGAAACCCUGAGGUUCUUUGUUGUUGAUUUUAGCAUUUGCUCUUUUUGACUCCUCCCAUUGCCCCUCUUGUUUCGGAUGGCUGUACUUCCUCCCGACCCUAAUUCAUUCAUAUCUUCUCUCUCUUUCUCUUUUUUCCAGACUGGGUUCCUUUUAAGACUUUCUUAUUUUCCCCCAAGUUCUCCCCCUGAAAGUCUCCUGUUCUGUCUCUUUCAUCUUAAAUAACUUAGAAAGGCAAACAAAUCUUGUAAGAAAAAGACCUACUAAUUUGCUGACUUGAGAGGGCCUGUUCAUCAAUUGGUAGUACAGGACUAGACAAAGAGAUGUUCUCAUUCGUGACCAGUUUCCUUAGGUCACGGGGGGUUGUGUUGAAGGGGGGUUGUGUUAGUCUCUUCUGGGGGUGAUAGAAGCACCCUGCUGCUGUGCAGGGGAUAGGGGAUACUCAGGGCUGGGAGAUGGGACCUCUGGCUGGACACUGUGGAUGGGAACAAAAGCCUGGGCAUUACGUGCCUUCACAAAAGCCUGGGCAUGAAGUGCCCCCACCUGAGAGCUGGAAAGAAGCUAUUUAUGGGCGAUUAUUUCGGAGAGGUGGUUUAUUUGAUGAAGUUAUGUAACCCUCUUUACAGCAGCCUAGUGUUGUUUAAAACUGUCAAAGCCUUCUCUAGGGCUUCCGCCUUAUAAAUAAUUUCUUCACUGGCCCCAAGUGUGUCUCAUGUGUGUUUUGUAUUUGUAGGUGGCUGCUUUGGUAUUUUCUGAAUGGGUGUGGCAACAGCAUUCAAUUCAAACCACAUGAGUUUGUUGCAAUACAUAGUGGUUCCUCUCUAAUUAAAAACUUGGAGUUUUGGGGUGCCUGGGUGGCUCAGUGGGUUAAGCCUCUGCC